rnacentral:tRNA from 1 species
CGGGGUGUGGCUCAGGUUGGUAGAGCACUUGGUUUGGGACCAAGGGGCCGCAGGUUCGAAUCCUGUCACCCCGA